UUUUUUUAUGGAGAGUUUGAUCCUGGCUCAGGACGAACGCUGGCGGCGUGCUUAACACAUGCAAGUCGAACGGAAAGGCCUAGCUUGCUAGGUACUCGAGUGGCGAACGGGUGAGUAACACGUGGGUGAUCUGCCUCGUACUUCGGGAUAAGCCUGGGAAACUGGGUCUAAUACUGGAUAGGACCAUGCUUUAGUGUGUGUGGUGGAAAGUUUUUUCGGUACGAGAUGAGCCCGCGGCCUAUCAGCUUGUUGGUGGGGUAAUGGCCUACCAAGGCGUCGACGGGUAGCCGGCCUGAGAGGGUGGACGGCCACAUUGGGACUGAGAUACGGCCCAGACUCCUACGGGAGGCAGCAGUGGGGAAUAUUGCACAAUGGGCGCAAGCCUGAUGCAGCGACGCCGCGUGGGGGAUGACGGCCUUCGGGUUGUAAACCUCUUUCGCUAGGGACGAAGCUUUUGUGACGGUACCUAGAUAAGAAGCACCGGCUAACUACGUGCCAGCAGCCGCGGUAAUACGUAGGGUGCGAGCGUUGUCCGGAAUUACUGGGCGUAAAGAGCUCGUAGGUGGUUUGUCGCGUCGUCUGUGAAAUUCCGGGGCUUAACUUCGGGCGUGCAGGCGAUACGGGCAUAACUUGAGUGCUGUAGGGGAGACUGGAAUUCCUGGUGUAGCGGUGGAAUGCGCAGAUAUCAGGAGGAACACCGAUGGCGAAGGCAGGUCUCUGGGCAGUAACUGACGCUGAGGAGCGAAAGCAUGGGGAGCGAACAGGAUUAGAUACCCUGGUAGUCCAUGCCGUAAACGGUGGGCGCUAGGUGUGAGGGUCUUCCACGACUUUCGUGCCGUAGCUAACGCAUUAAGCGCCCGCCUGGGGAGUACGGCCGCAAGGCUAAAACUCAAAGGAAUUGACGGGGGCCCGCACAAGCGGCGGAGCAUGUGGAUUAAUUCGAUGCAACGCGAAGAACCUUACCUGGGCUUGACAUAUGCAGGAUCGGCGUAGAGAUACGUUUUCCCUUGUGGUCUGUAUACAGGUGGUGCAUGGUUGUCGUCAGCUCGUGUCGUGAGAUGUUGGGUUAAGUCCCGCAACGAGCGCAACCCUUGUCUUAUGUUGCCAGCACGUGAUGGUGGGGACUCAUGAGAGACUGCCGGGGUUAACUCGGAGGAAGGUGGGGAUGACGUCAAAUCAUCAUGCCCCUUAUGUCCAGGGCUUCACACAUGCUACAAUGGUCGGUACAACGCGCUGCGAGCCUGUGAGGGUGAGCGAAUCGCUGAAAGCCGGCCUCAGUUCGGAUUGGGGUCUGCAACUCGACCCCAUGAAGUCGGAGUCGCUAGUAAUCGCAGAUCAGCAACGCUGCGGUGAAUACGUUCCCGGGCCUUGUACACACCGCCCGUCACGUCAUGAAAGUUGGUAACACCCGAAGCCAGUGGCCUAACCCUUGUGGGGGGAGCUGUCGAAGGUGGGAUCGGCGAUUGGGACGAAGUCGUAACAAGGUAGCCGUACCGGAAGGUGCGGCUGGAUCACCUCCUUUCUAAGGAG
rnacentral:rRNA from 1 species